rnacentral:rRNA from 1 species
GAGUUUGAUCUUGGCUCAGGAUGAACGCUGGCGGCGUGCCUAAUACAUGCAAGUCGAACGAACAGAUAAGGAGCUUGCUCCUUUGACGUUAGCGGCGGACGGGUGAGUAACACGUGGGUAACCUAUCUAUAAGACUGGGAAUAACUCCGGGAAACCGGGGCUAAUGCCGGAUAACAUGUUGAACCGCAUGGUUCUACAGUGAAAGACGGUCUUGCUGUCACUUAUAGAUGGACCCGCGCCGUAUUAGCUAGUUGGUGGGUAACGGCCUACCAAGGCGACGAUACGUAGCCGACCUGAGAGGGUGAUCGGCCACACUGGAACUGAGACACGGUCCAGACUCCUACGGGAGGCAGCAGUUGGGAAUCUUCCGCAAUGGGCGAAAGCCUGACGGAGCAACGCCGCGUGAGUGAUGAAGGUCUUCGGAUCGUAAAGCUCUGUUGUUAGGGAAGAACAAAUGUGUAAGUAACUGUGCAUAUCUUGACGGUACCUAACCAGAAAGCCACGGCUAACUACGUGCCAGCAGCCGA